GCUGACCAAGGUAUGAACAGAAACUUAUACUGUGGUUGCCAUACUCAUUACAGGUAUGUUCUAUUCGUUUUAUGUAUUUUCAUGGUAUGAAUGAGCACAGCAAUGCUAGCUGGUUUAACUAGCUUAUUUUUAGUUCACCAUGUGGGUUGGGUGCCAUAUUUUGUGUUCGCCGCCAGAUGGCACUAUUUCAUAUUUUACCUUUUUGUUGCUCUAAUUUAAAAAGGGAUGAUGUAGCUGUAAAAUAUAGUUCAUAUUGAUACUGUGACAAUUGACCCUGAUGUGAAUGUAAAAUGUAGACUUGUAUAAAUAUUUUAAAAAACUGAAUAUAAUAUGGAAACACAAGCACUUCUACCACUAUACGAUCGUAGCAAUUUGUAAAGGUAAUUGUAUUAUUUUCAUGAAUUAUAUGUCUUGUCAUUGAUUUAUUGUGGAGAUGUAUCUAGACUACUGUAGUCUCAGGCAGUAGAAUGGUUGCAUGCUGCCGUGUUGUACGCUGACCGAGGUAUGAACAGAAACUUAUACUGUGGUUGCCAUACUCAUUACAGGUAUGUUCUAUUCGUUUUAUGUAUUUUCAUGGUAUGAAUGAGCACAGCAAUGCUAGCUGGUUUAACUAGCUUAUUUUUAGUUCACCAUGUGGGUUGGGUGCCAUAUUUUGUGUUCGCCGCCAGAUGGCACUAUUUCAUAUUUUACCUUUUUGUUGCUCUAAUUUAAAAAGGGAUGAUGUAGCUGUAAAAUAUAGUUCAUAUUGAUACUGUGACAAUUGACCCUGAUGUGAAUGUAAAAUGUAGACUUGUAUAAAUAUUUUAAAAAACUGAAUAUAAUAUGGAAACACAAGCACUUCUACCACUAUACGAUCGUAGCAAUUUGUAAAGGUAAUUGUAUUAUUUUCAUGAAUUAUAUGUCUUGUCAUUGAUUUAUUGUGGAGAUGUAUCUAGACUACUGUAGUCUCAGGCAGUAGAAUGGUUGCAUGCUGCCGUGUUGUACGCUGACCGAGGUAUGAACAGAAACUUAUACUGUGGUUGCCAUACUCAUUACAGGCUAAUAAAAACUGCAUCAUCCCAA